rnacentral:lncRNA from 1 species
CACCCGCCCACACGGUUUGCCGUGUUUUCACCCUUCUUUGUUCUCCACCGGUCUGGGCAGGGUCUGAGGACUCCGGAGAGCAAGGCAUGGGUCCGCCUCGUGCCGCAGGUUCCUGGCCCACGCCAGCCGUACCCAGUAGCACAAUGGUAAGCGCAUGCUGGCGAGAGGUAGGCGGUGUGAGGAGGGGCUGGUUUCGGGGAGAGGACAGUAAUGAUGAUUUCUGGUGAUUCUGAGUGUCUCGCUGACGCCAUCACCGCAGCGCGCUGACCGUCCCCGGGUCCAAAAUCGGCAGUGGCGUGGGUUUUGAGUGGCCUAGAGUUCUGAGUAAUUUACCUCUGUGUCUUGCUUUCUGGUAGGGAUUUGAGGACACACGCCAGCUGCCUACACCUGAAGAAAGGGCUUUGCUGCUACGCACUGACAAGUUGGACGGCUUUUUAUUGCUUUGUUGCCAGUUAUCUGAACAUGAGAGGCUGUAAGGUGUAAUCUGCGAGCCCUGCGCCCAGACUGAACCAGGGCCUCCCUUGAACAUGAGUAUUAGACAAAUGAAAUAAGAACUUAUCUUGCCCAGACUAUAUAAUGGCUUGGAAAUGCAUAGUUUCCUGAACGAUCUCAAUAAAAUACUUUUAAAAGUACUUAAAUAGACUUUUUCUGUGUCACUUUGUGGGGAGGUGUGAGAAGAUAUAGGAGCUAGUCAUUUCAUGUGUCUGGUUCCUGGUCCCUUAACAGCAUCUGUUCUGGAAGUACAGAUGAAAAUUCUAUACAGACCUGUAAGGCUGACCAUAGUUUUAGCAGAUUAGCAU